GACGAACGCUGGCGGCGUGCUUAACACAUGCAAGUCGAACGAUGAAGCCGGAGCUUGCUCUGGUGAAUUAGUGGCGAACGGGUGAGUAACACGUGAGUAACCUGCCCUUGACUCUGGGAUAACUGCGGGAAACUGUAGCUAAUACCGGAUACGACCCUCGGAGGCAUCUCCUGGGGGUGGAAAGAAUUUCGGUCAAGGAUGGACUCGCGGCCUAUCAGCUAGUUGGUGAGGUAAAGGCUCACCAAGGCGACGACGGGUAGCCGGCCUGAGAGGGUGACCGGCCGCACUGGGACUGAGACACGGCCCAGACUCCUACAGGAGGCAGCAGUCGGGAAUAUUGCACAAUGGGCGCAAGCCUGAUGCAGCAACGCCGCGUGAGGGAUGACGGCCUUCGGGUUGUAAACCUCUUUUAGCAGGGAAGAAGCGAAAGUGACGGUACCUGCAGAAAAAGCACCGGCUAACUACGUGCCAGCCGCCGCAGUAA
rnacentral:rRNA from 1 species